CAAACACCCCGAAACACAGGUGGCCUCGCUUUGAGGGGACCUUGUAAAGAAAAUAGGCCCUAGGCCCCAGGCCCCAGUGGUGGGAGGCAGGUUGUCGAGAACACAGCCUUGCUUCCUGGAGUAGAGAGGGCACAGUAGCAGGACAUCUUGGUCUGUCCCCAGGAAACCAAGUAAUUUUUUUACUUUUUUUUUUUUUUUCUGUCCUUAGCCGACAAGGAUUAGAUUGUGCUAGCCAAGCACCAGUAAGUGGAGGGUCGGUGGAGCUGAGGCCGGGUGGGAGUCUGGCCUUACAGUGGUCCUCUGAGCUGCUCUUGGGGGAGGGGGUGCCAAUUUGUUAAUUUACAACUUUAAAUUUCAAUUAUAAAAUGUCAUUUUCCAGUGACUAGGCUACUUUUGCCCACUGUAAAAGGCACCGUCAUCCUGGUAUCAAGAUUCUGGAGAGGCCAGAUUUGAAAUCAAGUUUGUUUGAGACGUGGAUGACGAUGGGGAAGAUGUCCAUCCUGUGUAGGGUGCAGACACUGUCCAGCUGGACGUCCAGGAGGGCAUGGGUGUUCUUUGUGGAAGGGAGAGGAGAAGUGAGUCAAGAUCACAGGCCUCAGAGGAAGCAAAGGGAGCCAACGCCCAGCUGAGGAAACUGAGAUUCAAGGAGUUGGGAGACCUCACCCACAGUCACGUGGAUCCUAACUGGCUGAGAUGAGUUUUGGGCUCCUGCUGGGCUGUUGGGACCCAGAGGUCCGCGACAAGGUCAUCCAGGUCUCAGGUUGGUCCCUGUACCUUUAUCUCAUCCCCCUCCUCUGCAUUCCCGAAACCCUUCCCAGGACAGCUCCCCUGCCCACCCCGCCCUUGCCCUCACCUUUUCCAUGAGGGACUCCACAGCAUGGCGGGUCACCCAGCAGCGGCCCCCGGACACCUCUCCCUCCUGGAUGAUGUCCCCUCUCUGGCUCCAGGCCUCAUACUCCUCCUGGCUCAAGUACUCUGCAGGUGACAUUGGACGGGGCCAUCAUAUACCAGCUGUGUGGGGGUCUGGGGGAGUCCCAUGGUAAACACCCCUGUCCCCGUGAACCCCGCCAGCACUGGGAGGAGCUCUUCUUAGGGUGUCCACUUUACAAACCUGACCCUGCACGCCCCGCUCUGUGCCCUGCACCUCCAUCCUGAACUAUCUGGACACAGCAGGUGAGUGUGGGAAUGUGCGUGGUGGGGGAGGGAAGGAGGAGGGAGGAAGGGGAGGAGGGAGGGAGGGAAGGUGGGAGGGGUAGAGGGAUUCCCAGGCAACAGCAUACCUGCCAGGCACUUCUUAAACCCUUGGAGGAGGCACAGUUUCUCCCUCAGGAUCUUCCCAACCGCCCUGGGCACGAAGAGCACAGGCCGGGGCCGGGCGGGUCGAUGGGGCCGCACCAGGGUAUAGGGCACCAGGGUGAGGCAGCUCUCGGCCCAGAAGCACGUGCUGGAGCCUGUGGAGGAGAGGAUCCUGAGGGUGGGUGAGGCUGCGGCAGCCCCCAGCCAGCCCACCCUGCCCCGGGAGGGACUGGGUCUGCUUUGCUCACUGCAGCAGCCCCAGCACCUAGAAUUCCAGGGACACAGGCUCAGCGGUCACAGGACUCACUCCCAGUUCCAUAGCCCCUGGCUGAGCGGCUCCUUUGCACGGGGGUUACACAGCUCUGUGGCUCUCCAGGGACUGCUUUGCAGCCUGCAACUUAAUCCUGUUUCCUAUAGGCCCAAGGGAGGAUGGCGGAAGCCAGGGUUUUCUUCCUUCCAAAGGAUCUGGGAGAGUGGCACCCUUCUCCUCAGCCAUCCUCCAGGGCACCGGGUCCCAGCCCUCCCUCUGUCCUGUACUCCUCUCCUGAAAUUUUUUUUUUUUCCUGAGAUGGAGUUUUGCUCUUAUUGCCCAGGCUGGAGUGCAAUGGCGACACCUCAGCUCACUGCCACUUCUGCCUCCCGGGUUCAGGCGAUUUUCCUGCCUCAGCCUCCCGAGUAUCUGGGAUUACAGGUGUGCGCCACCACACCCAGCCCCAUGAUUCUUGAAGACCAGAUCCUGGCCUAAAUGAGUGGCAUCCCCCUGCCCCAGCUGACCAACUAGCAGCAGCUCCCAAAGCCCCUCACCCGCUUGGAGCCAGCGGCCCCUGUGCCAGCUCACCAGGCCUCACCCUCCAUCCUGCUGGGGUCCAACUGGCCCCUGUCAAAGGACAAACGCAGAGGGCUGGCCUUGGCUUUGUCCAUACUGACGAUGCGGACCAGCUUCUGUGGUCCCCCAGAAGAUGGCUAAAGGAGGGACGGAGAAAGGAUGAGGAGGAGCUGUUGAAGCCAUCAACAGGAAUGGGAAUUCAGGGGAGAUGAUUGGCACUAGGGCGACCUGGGAGUGAUGCAGAGGCGCAGAUGCUCUGAGAACAGCCUGAGGUGUGUCUGCACUUGUGCAAGAGCCUGCAGGCUGGGCAGGGGCUGCAGACCCUGCCCUGGUUUGAAGGGGCGCAGAGGAGAGACAGGUGGGGUUACCGUCCAAUCAGCAGCCCACUCUCCACACAGUGCCUCCUGCCACCCUGCCAGCACCGAGCCCCUCUUCCAGCCCACCCCAGUGGGGUCCAGGCCCCUCCCUGGAGCCUCACCUUGCGGGUCACGGUGCACUGCUGAGUCAUGUCCUGGAUGAGGGCUAUGAGCUGCUGCUGAGCCCUGCAGAGACCAGCAGAGGCCCUGACCCAGCUGCCUCCUGCCAGACAGGCAGCAGAAGCCGUCCACCCUCCUGAGAAGCCCCACGGCCUCCUCCAGGGUCGUGUCCUCCAGGACUGCCUUGAACAAGGGCUCUGAGGCUUCGUAAUCAACCUGAGGGCAAGUCGAGAAGGUCAGUCUCUUUCUCCCGGGACUCUGAAUCCAGCCAGAAGGCAGAGGGCGCUGAGGGCACUGAGGCGAAGCGCGGGCCAGCCCUGCAGUAGGACCACUGCCUGCACGCCUUGGUCAAAACAAAGUCACACACGAGAGCCUCUGUGGGGCCUUCACACCUCUAGUGAUGCGUGCUACACAUGGUGCUGGCCAGAGAGUCAACUGCCAACCCUUCCCCAGUCGAGAUCGGGGGUUCUUUGUGAUAAGCACUUUCCUGUCUUGAAAAAGAAAAGAAAAGAAAAGAAAGAACCUCGGUUCUAGAACAUUCAAGAGCAUUCUAGAUAGAGGUUUCUUAGCCUUGGGAUCAUUCUGUGCUGCUGCGGGCUGUACCGGGCCCUAUAGGAUGCUGAGUGGCAUCCCUGGCUUUCACCUACCCGAUGCCCUGGCUCUCCACCCACA
rnacentral:lncRNA from 1 species